rnacentral:rRNA from 1 species
UACGGGGGGGGCAAGCGUUGUUCGGAAUUACUGGGCGUAAAGGGCUCGUAGGCGGCCAACUAAGUCAGACGUGAAAUCCCUCGGCUUAACCGGGGAACUGCAUCUGAUACUGGAUGGCUUGAGUUCGGGAGAGGGAUGCGGAAUUCCAGGUGUAGCGGUGAAAUGCGUAGAUAUCAGGAGGAACACCGGUGGUGUAGACGGCUCUCUGGACCGUAACUGACGCUGAGACACGAAAGCGUGGGUAGCAAACAGG